ACUGCAGAACCAUGAAGUCUGCUGGAGAGAGCAGAGCAUUUCAGAAGAGAGGGCUGACAACACAGACUAACGUCAUAAUAAACGUUGUCUCGCACUGCUACAGCAGCUGGUUGGAAGGCUGGCCACAAGGCAGGGGGAGGGAGACGGUUCAUCUGCAGUGGCAUCAGUGCAGCCUGGAUGACCAGGACAGACUUAGGGGGGUCAGAAGCACGUGCUUUUCUAAUUUUUUUCAGAGCAUUCUGGAAGCAGGGCUGAAUUCCACCACCGAUCUAUGCAACACGAGGCUAGCAGGCAGGAGAGGGGCACCCUUGCAACACAGGGGCCCCAGGGCCAGGCUGUGACCGAACCCGGACAUCCUUCCCUCACGGGCAAGGGGCUUUGUUAUUAAGCCUCAUCAAUUAAUGUAACAAAGUCCACUGUCCACAUCUCAUCUUUCUCUUGUGGGAAGAAAACUCCAAUUGACAGAAACUGUUGGAGGCAUAUGCCUGGCCUCUCUCUCUCUGUGUGAAGAACUGAGAUACAGACAUAAAGCACUUCCCAAUUACCAAAGCGUGGUAAAGAGAAGGCCUUUGCGUGACUGAAUUAGGAGCUGAAGUAGUUGCUUUCUGUACACAUCACCGUUUUUGCUUAAGAGAACAACUCAUAGAUAAUCUGUUUUCCAAACUUGCACAUUUGGCAGACAUUGUCUCCAAAGUGGACAAAGGAGCCUGUCACUUCAAGGAAAACAACUUACAACAUUUGUUUCCAAUGAUAAAAUUUGAGCUUUCACACAAAAAUUAGAAUUCUGGAAAACCUGUAUCUGCCACUGUGAGCUCAACAGCUUCCCAAUACUUAAAGACUCGUCUGAUGAGAGGGGUGUUCAUUUUCAUGCAUGAGUAUUGUUGAUGGUAAUAUAAUGUGUCAACAUUUAGAUGAUCCGCACAACUCAGUGAACCACUAUUUUUCAAAUACCUAAUAUAUCACAAACCACACAUGGAUAAAAGAUCCAUUCAAUGUGCAAUCUAGACAAUGGUUUAAACAUAUUAUAAUAAGGUUCACUGAGGGCCUCCCCUGGUGGUGCAGCUGCCCGCAGCCUCUGCAGCGCCGGUUUGAUCCCCGGCCACCGGCGAGGGUCCCACAUGGCGCGCAGACCUCUCCUGUCUCUCCCGCUGCUCCCCUCAGCAGUGUAUUUCCUCAGUCUGCCUGUUCUGUUCCCCGCUCUGGCUCUGGUGAAUUCUCUCACCCCCCUCCUGCGCUUCUGACU